GACGAACGCUGGCGGCGUGCUUAACACAUGCAAGUCGAACGGAAAGGCCCUGCUUUUGUGGGGUGCUCGAGUGGCGAACGGGUGAGUAACACGUGAGUAACCUGCCCUUGACUUUGGGAUAACUUCAGGAAACUGGGGCUAAUACCGGAUAGGAGCUCCUGCUGCAUGGUGGGGGUUGGAAAGUUUCGGCGGUUGGGGAUGGACUCGCGGCUUAUCAGCUUGUUGGUGGGGUAGUGGCUUACCAAGGCUUUGACGGGUAGCCGGCCUGAGAGGGUGACCGGCCACAAUGGGACUGAGAUACGGCCCAGAAGCCUACGGGAGGCAGCAGUGGGGAAUAUUGCACAAUGGGGCGAAGCCUGAUGCAGCAACGCCGCGUGCGGGAUGACGUCCUUCGAGUUGUAAACCGCUUUCGCCUGUGACGAAGCGGGAGUGACGGUAAUGGGUAAGGAAGCACCGGCUAACUACGUG
rnacentral:rRNA from 1 species